GACGAACCGUGCGAACGUUGUUCGGAAUCACUGGGCUUAAAGGGCGCGUAGGCGGGCCACCAAGUCUGGGGUGAAAGCCCCCGGCUCAACCGGGGAAUUGCCUGAGAUACUGGUGGUCUGGAGGGAGGUAGGGGCAGCGGGGACUUCCGGUGGAGCGGUGAAAUGCGUUGAUAUCGGAAGGAACGCCGGUGGCGAAAGCGCGCUGCUGGACCUCUUCUGACGCUGAGGCGCGAAAGCUAGGGGAGCGAACGGG
rnacentral:rRNA from 1 species